rnacentral:rRNA from 1 species
UACGGGGGGGGCAAGCGCUGUUCGGAAUUACUGGGCGUAAAGGGCUCGUAGGCGGCCAACUAAGUCGGACGUGAAAUCCCUCGGCUCAACCGGGGAACUGCGUCCGAUACUGGAUGGCUUGAGUUCGGGAGAGGGAUGCGGAAUUCCAGGUGUAGCGGUGAAAUGCGUAGAUAUCUGGAGGAACACCGGUGGCGAAGGCGGCAUCCUGGACCGAUACUGACGCUGAGGAGCGAAAGCCAGGGGAGCAAACGGG